GGACCUCAUUUCCUGUCCUAAUGGAAAGCUCCGCGCCUGGCACUGAAAAUUAAGAAUCUUUGAUUUUCUACUUUUAUCCCAAGGUGCUGCUGAUGGGGGCUGAAGGCACCACUGGUCUCCGGGUCUGGAAGCCUGGGUGAGCUGGGAGUUUCAAACUGAGAAGAAGUUGCCGUUUGAAGCUGUGCUUCUGGAACCUGAUCAUCCGAGUGAGUCACCCAGUGACCUCAUUAAAAUGCAGAUUCCCCGGGAAAGUCUGUUUUUCUAAGAGGCCCCGGCGGGGGGGGGGGGGGGGGGGGAUGCCAGGGUCGCGGGUCCACAGCAAAGAGCAACAAUCUCAGCCCCAUGGUGUUUUAGAGUUGCCCGCAGAACUUCGCAAAAUGCUGAUGUCUUGAUCUCCUUCCCCGGCAAUUCCGACUUAAUUGGUCUGGGGUGUGGACUGGGACAGGAUUUCUGAAACUUUCUUGGUCAUUCUAACGGGCAGCCUGGGUGGAGGACCCAUCCGUGUGAACGGAGUGGUCCUGGCACUUCGGAAAGGGGGUGCCAGGCUUGCAGCCAGCUGUGGCCACAUCUGUAAGGACUGCGCCUGACCCCUCCCCUGCAAAAGAGCUGCAUUCACCCUUUCAGGGCAGUUGGAACCAGCCAGAAGCAUGCCGGAAGCGGCUGGCUGUGUGGCCAAACCACUUGUCCUGAGGGAGGUGGAACUUGGGGCCCAGAGCACAGAUGCACGUUGCAUAGCUGUGUGACAGCAGCCCCGGCUCUGAGCUUCUCUGUCUCACCUGGAAGCAUCUUCAGGCCACCUUGUGGGGCUGCAGGCUGCUGAGAGGCAAUGUCUGCCACAUACGGGGCUCCAUGACGGACUCGGUAAAAGGGAGCUCUUGCUCAUAAACACAGAAGCAAGAAGCCUGGACAACCAGCGACAGAGCAAUGGAGAGGGGCUGAGAGCUGGGGUCAGUGUUUGCCAACGUGAAAUAGCCAGAUGGGAAGAGAUCCCUUUUGGUAAAUUCCCGGUCCUUCCAUCCUCUGUGAUCACUUCAGUAUUAUUAUCCAGUUCUGCUCUGCAAGAGACCCAGGACCUGCACGGCUGACUUCCUCUGAGAGGCUCCAAAUGUGAAAAAUGAAAUAAUUCAGAAUGUGAAACCCCCUUUGGAAUGUCCUUAUUCUCUGUUUUGGGGUGAAAGAAAGUCGUUUAAAAAAGAAAAAAAACAACCUUCAUUAUAUCAAGGAGAAGAAGAAAUAAACCACAUCAACAGGAAGCUCAGAGAAGAGAUUUAUUUGUUCAUGUUAAAAAGGCAACUUAGUUAGCAAUUCUUGUGAGGUUUGGCUUCGCUCCACUGCUCGCAACAUAUUAAGGUCUGUCUCUUGAGGAAGACAAACAAUUCCAGCACCGGGGGCCUUCCAAACACUGGGCUGUUUUCAGUUUUGCAGGGAGUGUCUCAUAGGGAUGUUUGCUUGGUGGUGGUGACCAUACUGGGGGUAGGGGUGGGGAGAGAGAGAGAGAGAGAGAGAAUGGCAAGGGAAAGUAAAUUAAAGAAGACAAGGAGAUGACUUUUAAUGGGCCUAUCCAGAGUCUGGGAGGUGGGGUUCCUGUACCUCAGCACCCUCUUCCUCACCAUAAUGUCCUUUUCCUGCUCUUCCUCCGUUCCUGUCUUCCUCCAUACCUCUAUGUUCUGAAUUAUAAAAGUCUCUAAUAUUGCGUAUGUCUAAGAGUAGAAGGUGAACACCCCUCUUCCUAUCUCAGUAUGCAUAAGGACCACCUAGGUUAAAAACAGGGUAAAAAGCACAUAUUCCUGGGACCCACCCCCAGAGGGUCUGAUUUACCAGAUCUGGAGCAGGUCCGAGAAGCUUCACUUACAGCAAGCCCCAUCCCCACCCCCCGCCCCCGCCACCGUCCACCCUAGUGAUUCUGAUGUGAGUGGCCAUUGAACCAGGCUUAAAGAUGAGCUGCUUCGCGCUGACGGCUUGGCAUGUGUCUUUCACACAAGUGUGCAGAAAUGUACACAUGCUGCAUGACACGGAAAAUACGCACACAACACAGACUCGUAGACACAGGGCUACGGUACAUAGGGUAUACACUUCUCCCUACCAGCCCACACAGCCAUGAGCCCAGGGCUCCCAUGAGUCAGAACAACAGCAUUUUACUAGACAAAAAUGAAGAGAAGUUUUAGAAUAUGCUUAUAGACUCCUUUCUGCACUUUCAGACUUCGUGUCCUUUCUGUCUUGCAAAACCUGCCCACACAGAGUCAAAUAAAGCCACACCUCAUUGCCAGUGACAUUCUAGACGUUCUGUCUGGUCUUUGUCUGCAGCUGGUGAUAGAUAAGGCUUUCUGAUCCCCUACAAAUAGCCUUUAACCUAUUCCCCGGGGUCAUGACUAUUUUGUGGUGAGCAAAUACCCUAAUGCGUGUUCUCUGUGCCAUGCCGGUCAGAGUACCAUGACUGGUUCUCUGACAGAACAGACUCCCUUGGCACUCCUCCCCCUCACUGAGCACUCUGGAAAGAGCAAAGGUCUUGAUGUCAAACAGGCUUAAGUUCAACUUGAUUCUCUCUUUCACCAGAUGUGUAUGUUUGGGCAAGUUGAUUAACCUCUGAACCUCAAUUUUCUCACCUGUUAAAUGGGCAUAACAUUAUUCAUAGUAACGCCAUGAGGGUUAAAUGUCACAGAGAGAAUUUUUACCACAAUAAUCUUUCAGCAAAUCCAUCCAUUCAGCAAGUAUUUAACUGUGUGCCUGUUAAUUGCACCAUGAUGCAUUGCUUAACCAGAUGCCACUUUCCUCUGCCUCAAGCAGUGCUGGACGUGACCCUAAGGGCUGGGACAGAGGCAGUGAGUGAGCAGAGCUGACAUACAUCCCCAUCUUGAUGGAGCUCACAUUCUGGUGGUGGCUGCCAUGGUCAUCAUUAUUUCAUGGUCAUCUACCACAACAGCGCUGUAAAUUAAUUUUAUCUUUGUGAUAGAAGUAAGGGAUGAGUCAGAUGACUGGGAGAGAUAUCCAGGCCACUUCUCUCGGCACCAGGCUAUAGCCGUGUCUCCACCUUAUUGGGAUCCAUCACAUACAAUUCAGGUUUACGUGUAUGAACCUUUAUUUACAUAUUUACCUUUAUUUUUAAGUAGGCUCGCACUGGGGCUUGAACUCACAACCCUGAGAUCAAGACCUGAGCCGAGAUCAAGAGUCGGAGGGCUUAAUGGACUGCACCACCCUCGGGCCCCCACUUGUAUGACCCUUUAGAUAAAUGGCUAUAAAUAAAUUGGUCCUACACCCAUCAAA